UGGGAAAAUAUUCAUUCAAUUGAGAAACAAACAUUGUGUUCCUUUUUCAAUGGGAAGGUGGAAAAUCGGACUCCGGAUGUCUACAAGGAGAUACGGACUUGGAUUAUGAAGAGGUUUCAUGCCAAUCCAAGCACAAACAUUGAACUGAAAGAUCUGUCGGAGCUGUUUAUUGGGGAUAUAGAUGCAAGAUGUUGACAAGGCAGAGCAAAUAGACUCUUUAAUUGAAAAGUUUUAUCAGUUACAACAUAAGCAAUCCUCUGUACUAUUAGUUCCAAGAGCCAACGUGUCAACAGCGGCAGUGCCUUCAGGCCUAUUUCCGGAGUCGAUCACAGAAGAGUUGGUAGAACAAGAGGGACCUGCAGUUGAGUAUCAUUGCAACUCUUCUUCUGUUGAUUGUUCUUGCAGUUGAGCAGGUGAUGGGAAGGUCUUCACCAAAUGACAAGCUACAGGCCUAUAAAAGGACAGUCUGCUGGACCAGCGUAGGAGAAGUGCAGACAUCGAGGAUGAUUUUUCGAUGAAAUUGGCUGAUAUGUUAAAAUAGUUCAAUGAAUGCUCUAGUUCUUUGAGUAGGCACAGAGAGAUGGACAGAGAGCUUGAAUUGAAGGAACACUAAUGUCCCUGUCUUCCCUGAAGAAGUAUGUGUCACCUAGUUGGGGGCAGCCAUUUGUAGGAGCUAGCAUUUUGGCAGUUUCAGGGAAUGGAGCUAGCAUUUGGAGAGAGGCUGAACUUGAAUCUUGGG